GAAACGGUCGGAGGCACGCACACACUAUCCGUAUACCAUCUUGGCAUAAUGGCUUGUAUAUUUUGAAUUGACUUGAAGUGAAGUGGGUAGAUCGGAUCAACACAACAGGGCACACUAUUCAGAUCAAUUCUGGUAGUUUUUGUUUUAUGUUUAAAGAUUUAUAUGGCAUGUAUAGAGUUUGAAUGAAUUGAAGUAAAGAUGUUAUAAACUAGUUAACAAUAUUUGUACUAAAACAGUUUUUGGUAAGUAGCAGUAGUUUGACUUUGAAAAAUCACUAAAAAUAGUAGAAAUGGAAUUAAAUAAUGAAUAAGUUAUGGAA